AUGGUCCACACCUACCAGAGUGCUAUGAGCUGGACUGGACCUGGGUGGGAGACCCCUGUGCCAAUGGGUUUCCUGGCCCCUACCCGGCUAUCUGCUAAGCAGAUUCCUGGCCUUGACGCUGGUCGGGAUUCCCCCUGCCAGCUGCGCUGGGUCUCUGCGCACCUCCGCCUCAUCGACGGCAAAUUCCUCAACUUUCGGGCGCUGUUCCGGGAGGGCUGUAAGUGGUGGGGGCAGCGGUACCCCUGGGCACUGGGAGGGAGAGCAGCCGACAGCCUCAGGGCUGGGGGAAGGGGGCUGGAAGGGGUGUUGGGCUCUGCUCACAGACCCGGGAUUCAGGGAGGAGUCUGUGUGUCAGGCCAUCAUACCAUCUCCUCUGCAGCCGGAGCUGGGGCUGGGUCUGACCCCCUGGAAGCUCACCUAAGCGACCUGCUUCAGGCAGUAGCCGCGCUCCAGACCCGAUACCCAGUGCUGGGCGGACCACGAGUUCGGGGGGCUGUGGCAGCACUGGUCAGCGCUGUACAAGGUCUUGCCCAGACCCAGGGCACUGGAAGCAGAAAUCGGUACAGUGAGAUCUUCAGGAGCCUGGACAACCUAGAGAUUUCUUUGGGGAAUGCGGCUGUGGAAAUGUUGGUUGGAGACUCAGAAUCUGAUUACCCUGAGCCAGGAGUGGAGACUAAUGAGAUCCAAAGCUGGAGCAGCCCCUUCCCAGGAGGCCCUGCCCCCCUCACAGGUACAGACUGGGGUCAAGGGCUGGGGCUGGGGUCCAGAAUAAGGAUUGGCUUGGUCCCUUCAGUUAACGUUCUUUCCCAAGGGGAGGAACUGGACAUCCGGCUCGUGCGUAGUGAAGGAGGAGUAGAGGCUGCCCUGGAUUAUGCCAAAAUGUGGAGCAAACAUAUAAAAGAGAUUCUGAGCUGGACUGAAAAGAGAGCAAGCUAUGAGCUAGAAUUUUCCAAAAACAUCAUGAAGCUUGCUGAGGCAGCAAAGGUAUCCAUUCAACAGCAGCAUCCUCCAGGACCACUCCGGGACGUCUAUGGCCUCUUCCUAGAGCAAGACUUCACCCUUGGAGAGCUGAUGUUACAGAUACUGGCACAGCAAAAACGUGAUUAUUGCCAGCCCCUGGUGGUCCAGAGGAAUGAGAUAGAGAAAAGGCGGAAAGAGAUGAAGGCUCAGUGGGCUCGUGAACAGAAGCGGAUGAAUGAAGCGGUGCUGGCCUUGCGUCGGGCUCGGAUCCAGUACCUGCAGAGGAGUGAAGAUGCACAGACCCGAAUCUUGGGCUUUCCUGAGGUCCCCAGCAAGCAGCAGGAGCGCCGGCGCCGUUCACGAGAGGAUGCCCAGGCCAAAGUAAGGGCAUGGUCUCUGAUCCUUCUCAGUGUGAGCAUUUCACCCCCUGGCUCUGCUUCCCAAUGCCUGUGUUUCCCUUCCCUCUCCAUUCCUUGGUUUCUUCAGGCACAGGAGGCUGAGGCUCACUAUCAGGCCUGUAUCCGGGAGGCCAACCUCCGGCAGCGAGAUCUGGAGGCUACAAAACAGAGAAUCGUGUCCCGUGUCCGGAAGAUGCUAUUUCAGGGGGAUGUGGAGCUCAAGAAGGUGUCCUUGAACUUCUUCAGCCUUCGGGGGGGCCUGGCUGAAAGAGGACCCCAGGGCUUCUCGGCCCUUAGCGAAUGUUGUACACCCUUUGAGCCUGGCCAGCAAUACCUCGAGUUUGUGCAGACGAUGUGGCCAGAGCCCCCUCCUCCAGCCCCACCGGAUUUCUCCUUCCAGGAGUUUGUGGCCUCAGCACACAGCUCUCCUCUGGAUGCUCGAAAGAAGGUUCCAUCCCAGCAAUCCUUGCAGUCCAAUGAAUCCUUAUUGGAGCUCAACCUCUGGGAGGAGCCUGGAGACCAUGGGAGCCUGGGUACCUGUCUAGGGAGCGAUGUGGACAGUGUGGGUGGAAGCAGUGAGUCUCGGUCUCUGGACUCUCCUACAUCCAGCCCUGAGCUUGGGGAUGGACCAGACAAUGAGACAUCUUGCCCUUUGAAGAAGUGGUCAUUAUCCAGUGCAGCCCAAACCCACCGUUUCCGAAAACUUCGAGGCCCAGCCAAGUGCCGUGAGUGUGAGGCCUUCAUGGUCAGCGGGAUCGAGUGCGAGGAGUGCUCUCUGGCCUGCCACAAGCGUUGCCUGCAGUCAUUACUGAUCCUGUGUGGCCACAGGAAGCUCCCAGCCCGAACUCAGCUCUUUGGAGUUGAUUUUUCACAGCUUCCUCGAGACUUCCCAGAGGAGGUGCCCUUCUUGGUCAUUAAGUGCACUGCUGAAAUCGAGCAUCGUGCACUGGGUGUACAGGGUAUUUACCGGAUCAGUGGGUCCCGACUUCGAGUAGAGCGGCUGUGUCAAGCCUUUGAAAAUGGCUGGGCCUUGGUGGAGUUGUCUGGUAACUCUCCCCAUGAUGUUACUGGAGUACUCAAGCACUUCCUUAAGGAGCUCACAGAUCCUAUCAUCCCCUCUCAACUCUAUUGUGCCUUCAUUUCUCUGGCUAAGAACCUGCAACCAGAGGUAUCAUCAGAUGCCUCAGGAAACACUGAACCUGAACUCAAUCUUAACCCCAGCCCCAGUGCUCACCCUGAGGCUGAAGCUGUCAGUGCCCUGAAAAAUCUCCUGAGACAGUUGCCUGGUUCUAACUACAAUACUCUCCGGCAUCUGGUGGCCCAUCUGUUCAGGGUGGCCUCAAGGUUUGAGGAAAACAAGAUGUCGGCCAACAACUUGGGCAUCGUGUUUGGGCCAACGCUGCUUCGGCCACCGAAAGGACAGGGUGGGGUCAGCACCAGCCCAGUGGCUUGUCUCCUGGACUCGGGAUACCAGGCGCAGAUGGUGGAGUUCCUCAUCAUCCACUAUGAGCAUGUCUUUGGGAUGGAAGAACUCCCUUCCGUCCCAGCAGAAACAUCUGAUCCUGGAACUCCUGGGCCUGCCUCCCAGACCUCAGCCUGUGGAGAGGGGUCUGAGACUGCAGGGCUCCAAGCGUUAUCUGAUGAGGUAUGGUCCACUGCUAGUCUCCAGCCCGCUCUACUGCUCGACCUCUCUGGAGGUCCAGUACAUUGCCAGAGAACCUGGUCAUAGUCAAGGGAAGUGGUGAAGCAACAGCUGAUGGGUCAUGGGGGAGGGGAACAGGAACAGGCAAGAACAGAGGGGUGUGCUAAUAGUGGGGGGAAGGAGGGUGAUUGUCUAUAGAGACUAUAGUAUCAGGGAUGUUGGGGAGUAGGGGGUCUGGUUUUCCUAGAAAUCUGACGAUGGAUAUGGAAGCAUGAACUUGGCCAGAUUCCUUCCUGCAGACUUGGAUUGUUUAUAUUAUCAGAGAGAUUUCCUCCAAAAAUGGUUAAGGUUUUGUGUAAAUUCUGCUAAGGGGAGAAAUCCUUGGCUUUUCAAGAAACUCUCAAAAGAUUUCCAAGUAGUACGGAAAUGGUAAGGUUUAUGAAGGGUCCGAACACUCGUUAUUCUAGCCCUGUGCUGGCACCUGUCCUGGGCCAGACUCACUGAACAGGUAUCUGUGUCUUGAUCCAUGGCAAAGGUGAGACUCAGGACUCUUUUGGUCUUGGGUUUAACUUUAGGCUUCUCUGUCUCCAGGCCAAGUAAAAAUCUCUGGAUUUUGAUCCUGGACUCUGAAUAUCUUUGGGUUAGACUAUCUGUCUUGGGCUAGACCUUCUGAGCCAGGUCAGCACCUUUAGGUCUCUUGAUUCUCUCCCAGAUCAGACUCUGGGUCUCAGAGGUGGGACCUCAUGAGUCUCUCUCUUGGGUGAUACCAGUGCUUCUCUUCACAGACUUCACUACCCAAAGGUGACUUCAUUGAGUGGGUCACCGCAGAAGGAGAGGAAGGUGAGUGAGUACAGUCGUUGGAAGACAGCUGGGAGUAUGGAACUUAAGUCAAGGAUGUCUUAGGUAGACGUGGCUCUGCUCAAAGAUUUAGUGGUUACUCUGGGAGGUAAUUGGAGAAGGGUUGGAAAAACUGAUCUCUUAAGCAGCCCUCGGAGGUUUGGUGCAGUUGCCCAAAGAAUAAUGAAUUUAAUUAGUAUAAAUAACAGCUAGCUUAUAGGUUUGCAAAGCAUUUUAUAGCUAUUACUUCAUCUUUUCAAUAACCUCGGGAAGCAGAUGCUAUUAUCUCCAUUUUUCAGAUGAGGAAACUGAGAUAGAGAUUGUGACUUGCUCAGAGUCUUCCAGCUAGUAUCUAAUUGAACUCAGCCCCACUGCCGAGACAGCUAGAUGGUUCCCUGGACCUGGAGUCAAGAAGACCUGAUUUCAAAUGUGGCCUCAGACCCUUACUACAUUUACUGCUUAUGUGACCCUGGGCAUUUAAGCACUGUUUGCUUUAAUCUACUGGAGAAGGGAAUAGCAAACCACUCCAGCAUCCUAAGAACAUUAUGGUCCACAGAACCAAGUAAAGUUGGACAGGAUUGAACAACAGCAAUGUUUUCUGGCUCCAGAUCUAGUACUCUGUCCAUUGAGCUCCCUACAGAACUUGGGGUUCCAGUGACCUGGGGGUGACAGUGGGAGAACUAGAGAGUCCAAUCAAGUACGUGAGGAAACCCCCCUAGGGACACAAUCCCGGGGCCACUUCAGUCGGCAGCCUGUGAAGUAUCCCCGGGCAGGGGGAGUCCGGCCA